UCAAGGCCUGAAUGGAUAGAAUAUAACCACAUGAAAAUGGUCAAUGUUAAUGUUUAGAAAUUUUAAAUAAGAAUUUGCCCAUAUUGUAGACAACCUAAUAUAUGAGCUGUACCUGAAUGCACAGCUCUUGGGAAAAUACCAUCUCAUCAAUGGAGAUUCCUUCUGCUUUCAUCUCAUGAUGUAUGGAGUUUGGGCUGAUUGGGUGCUUCAGUCUGAUCAGCUUCCCUGUUCCUGCAGAAGGAAAGCGUCCCAACAACAUGAGACUGCUACCACCAGGUUUCAUGGUGGGAAUGAUCUGUUCAAGAACCACAUGAAGGCUGCCGGUCAUCUUCUACAUUGCUGUUAUUCAGUGUGUCCUCUGCACAUCCAUCACUGUGUGGUUUGGCUCACUCACAAAACAGGACAGGUCUGGACUAUAGUGAAUAAUUCGGUCGGCAAAGAGGAUCAUCUGGGCUGACCUUUCCUCCAUCCUGGACUUUACAAGUCUAGGGUCAGGAAAAGGGCAGCUAACGUCUCUGCAGAUCUCACACAUCCUGGACACAAACUGUUAACACUUUCACCUUCAGGUCAGCCCCACAGAGCACUAUCUGCUAAAACCAGCCUCCACAGAGACAGCUUCUUCUGCCAGGCUCUUUUUCUGAUGAACACAAUGAAAACAUUGCAGCCUGAGUAGUCAGUUACUGUAAUGUGAAGCAAAAUAAGGAUAUUUCAACCAUCAUAACCUGUAUUUUUUUAUUUCAAUUCAUUAAAAAUGUUUUAUAAUAAUAACGUAUUACUCCCAAAGUGAAAUUAUCUAGUAGAACUGGAAAUAUUUUUAUUAAAAAGGCACAAAGAGAGCAUUA